rnacentral:rRNA from 1 species
UACGUAGGGUGCGAGCGUUGUCCGGAAUUAUUGGGGCGUAAAGAGCUUGUAGGCGGUUUGUCGCGUCUGCCGUGAAAAUUCGAGGCUCAACCUCGAACUUGCGGUGGGUACGGGCAGACUAGAGUGUGGUAGGGGAGACUGGAAUUCCUGGUGUAGCGGUGAAAUGCGCAGAUAUCAGGAGGAACACCGGUGGCGAAGGCGGGUCUCUGGGCCGUAACUGACGCUGAGGAGCGAAAGCGUGGGGAGCGAACAGG